UUCAUGAUCAGGAGAAGAAGAAAAGGGGGUUCAAACCCUAGUUCAAAAGAAGCUUCAAUUGAAGGGAAAUUUGGAGCUUAAACCUAUGAUUGAACUCGAAUUAAUGAUCACCUACACAAGGGGAUCAUGAGGUGUAGCAAGGCUUGGAAGACAAUAUGUCAAACAAGUGGAAAUGGUGAUAACUUUCAUACGGGCAAAGAUAAUCGGAUCGUCAUGAUGAACGAAGCAACAGAGAUCGAGUCGAGACCAAGGAUUGUAUGGGGAUGUGAUCACAUGCUUGAAAUCAUUAGUAAUAUAAUUUUUCUUGAUUAUGAAUGAAUGUUGUUAAAGAUUUAGAUUAAGUCGAUUCGGAUGGAUUAUUAAUCAGCUGUAUGUCUUACAAGGAAAGAAAUUUUAUGACUCA